UUGAUUGAAUUGAUUUACCUUGAGUUAGGGUUGAGAAUAAUUAUAUGUGUUGAAAAGGUUCAAGUUUGGGGUUGAAUGGGGAAAGUGAAAGGCAAAAGAAAAAGAAAAGCAUUGAGUUCAAAAGAAUGAAAAAGAAAGAUGCAUGUGAAAGAAAAGAAAAGAAGAAAAGAGAAAAAUAAUGUUAAGUGAAUUCAAUGUAAAAUGAAAAAGGGAAAAGUUGGGAAUGAGUGAGAUUGGUCAAAAAGAGAGUGUGCUUGAACUUUGAAUAAUGAUUUAAACUCUCUUAACUCAAGGAUUUUGUAUUCCAGAAAAACUAAUUUUUCUCGAUAGCCCAGCC
rnacentral:lncRNA from 1 species